rnacentral:misc_RNA from 1 species
GAUGAAGAACGUAGCGAAAUGCGAUAAGUAAUGUGAAUUGCAGAAUUCAGUGAAUCAUCGAAUCUUUGAACGCACAUUGCGCCCCCUGGUAUUCCGGGGGGCAUGCCUGUUCGAGCGUCAUUUCACCACUCAAGCCUCGCUUGGUAUUGGGCAUCGCGGUCCGCCGCGUGCCUCAAAUCGACCGGCUGGGUCUUCUGUCCCCUAAGCGUUGUGGAAACUAUUCGCUAAAGGGUGUUCGGGAGGCUACGCCGUAAAACAACCCCAUUUCUAAGGUUGACCUCGGAUCAGGUAGGGAUACCCGCUGAACUUAAGCAUAUCAAUAAGAGGAGGA